ensembl:miRNA Gm25069 predicted gene, 25069
AUAUAUAUGUAUGUGUGUAUAUGGGUGUAUAUAUGUGUGUAUAUACACCCAUAUACACACAUACAUAUACGCACACAUAUACAC